CGUCUCUACUACGUCUCUACGCCUCUACUGUGUCUCUACGUCUCUACGUCUCUAUUCUACGGCUCGUGUGUUGGUUUAAAUCUCUCUCUCUCUCGUGCUCUGCUUGCCUUUGCUUCUGUAAACACUUCUCCAAACAUCAUCUGCCGGACAGCAGUGUUGUUGACUCUCCGCCUCCGAUACUAAUCGCCAGGUCCUCUGCAAAGUCUCUUUGUUAUCUCAGUGGGAACCACAGCGGAGAGGAUCACGCAUCGGGUCACGUGAGGAUCACGCAUCGGGUCACGUGAGGAUCACGCUUCUCAGCGGAGGACAGUGUCGAGGUUCCGCCGCAGAAAAUGUGCUAAUCAAGCAUCCAGAUGAGGGCCGGAUCCAUUGCAUGUUAUCGUAUUGUCAUCGGGACGUCACAUCUGGAUCGCUCCUCCCACAAAGCUGAGAGCACAGCUGUGUGCAAGAAUCAACGGCUGUGGACGUGAGUCUGCAGAGGAGACCCUUAAAUGGCCUGAAAUGCGUUUUUACCUGAACAUCAUCCUGGACCCUGUGUUCACUCAUCGGUUUCCCCCGAACAUCAAAGACGCCGUCCGUGGUGCGAGCCAGCAGACGGGCUGCAGACAGAGGCCGCACACACACACAGUGCACGGCAGCAAAGUGACCUUGCACGGGGGGAAAGGUGACGAUCCUCUUUGUGUGCGCUGUGAGUGUGUGUGUGUGUGUGUGUGUGUGUGUGUUCGUUGGUCUACUCCAUCUCCUCCCGCCUCUCGUCACGUCUGCCGUUGUUCGCCAUGCCGGCUGCUUUCCUUUGGUCCUCUCAUCGCUCCGAGCAAUGAAGAUUAGCUUGGCACAUGGUGCACGCACGCACACACACACACACACACACACACACACACACACACACAAUCCAGCGUCUUAUAACAAGCUGUUAACCCCCGUUUAGAAGUGCGGCCUUUGAAUCGGCUCGGUGAAAGGGAGUGUAAUCCGUGCCGGACGAUUUAAUGGUAAUCUCCAUAUCCUGAUUAGAUUACACACACACACACACACACACACACACGUCGUCUGGAACACUUCUAAAGGAACUGAAUUGAAACCAAAUGUCAUUGAUGUAAGCAGGAGAUGUCUUUAUAUCUUCUGUAAUUUAUUUAUUUUCUCCGUUCUCGGGUCAUUCAGAGUUUUUGAUGCUUUGUUCUUAUUUUCUUUUUUAAGGAUAAUGCAUCGUCAGGACGGCCUACAAAGACCAUUGUUGUUGUUGAUGUCUUUUUAUAGCACCGUUUCUUUUAUGCUUUGGUAACUGACAGUACAGAGUGAAGUGCAGAAAUGCCUUCAUACAUCCGACAUUCUACUAUAUUUUUAGACUGAUUCUAAACGUCAAAUAAACCUUUUUAGUGUCGCCGGUUCACUCGUUUACUCAAAUGAUGUUUCACACGUUCCCGUUCGAGGGUCUGGCUCUCCACGGAUAAUGAAAAGGGGAAGUAAGUGUCAAUAAAUGUGUGAACUGAUCUGUGUAUGCAGAGUGGGUACAGCGCUGUAUAUCUGAUGUCUAUUCCAUUAAAACACAACAGUUAACAGCGUAUCACCUAGAAAUGUGUCCUCUGUAUCCAUAGAGACACACCUCCAACACCCUCUGGGAUUUGUUCAUUCCGUGCCAACACAAUCUGUAGUGUUGUUUUCAUUUGAACAGAUAUCUUCUAAUUCUUACAUUUUUAUUUUUUUAUUCUUUUAUAAUUUAUUGUUGUGCACCGUUCCAGGCUGCUAAGGACACUCUUUAGGAGACGUAGAGUCUCACUUCCAUUAAUUGACAUCAUGAAUCAUUCAAAUCAGUCGGGUCAAACCCGCGCUGGAAGGUAAACAGAUGUGAUAUUAUUAUUCUAAUGUGUCUAUCUGCCGUGUGUGUUCAAUUUAAUCUGCUCCAUCUGUUCUCAAUAAAAUAUAUGAUGGCGAAAGUC